GCUCCAUGAGAACGCCUUUCAUGUAACCACUGAUUUCAUGACAGCUGAGACUUCAGAUGUUAAGACUUUCCUCUAGAACAUGAUCCAGUCUCACCCAAGCUGAGCCUGCCUCCCUCACAUCUCCUUCCACCAUCCCACUCCAGUUGACGAUGAUGGCACCAUGUGGCAAAGCAAGAGCAGAUCAUAUCUCCUCACCCCAGGCUGUUUGAGGAAAGUCCAGAGCUGAACAACAGGAGGGAGCAAAGAGGUCCGCAGCCCUGUUGGUAACUUUCCUCAUGCUGCCAUCUUGUUAUACCCAAGUUUUACUUUCUGGAUGAAAUAAAUGGGAAAACAAAGGACAAA